GCAGCCCUAUCUAUUAUUCUUGGUCCUCCAGCCACCUCUCAUCUCUCCGUUGAUCUCCAGCCCUCCCUCUCGUUUUUUCCUUCGUUUCUGAUACUUCCCGACCUGUGCUCACCAAAAGAAAACCUCGAAUCCUUUAACGGAAAGAUUGAGUACGGCAGUACGGCUUCUGAACGCAACAGGUAUCAUCUACAGUAAGCCUGCCCAGCCUACAAAAGAAGCACCCCUUCUCAUCAUGACGUCUGUGAAGUCGUGGUUUCCCAGUUUCAAUUCUACCCCAAAAGCGUUGAGCCUCGUGACCCCAGCCACACUCCUCCCUGAGGAAGGGCACCACCUGGAAAUACAGACCAUUGUGGUUAUUUUCAUUUUCUGUGUUGUCUGCUUGCUUCUCCUGGUGGCCUUCUUUUAUGCCUCCUGCUUCCACUUUUCCAUCGGUUCAUCUCGGAAGGAGUCACAUUCGGCUAACAGAAGCAGCCUAGAGCCAGAGGACACCACAUAUAGGCUCAGCUCAUUUGAAAUCCAGUCAGUACAAGACUGACUGAUAAGAACAAUAAAAGUAAGAACUAUA